rnacentral:rRNA from 1 species
CCUACGGGUGGCAGCAGUGAGGAAUAUUGGUCAAUGGCCGGAAGGCUGAACCAGCCAUGCCGCGUGAAGGUCAGUGCCCUAUGGGCGUUAAACUUCUUUUGUGCGGGAGCAAUAAUGGUCACGUGUGGCCAGACGAGAGUACCGUACGACUAAGCAUCGGCUAACUCCGUGCCAGCGGCCGCGGUAAUACGGGGGAUGCAAGCGUUUUCCGGAUUUCUUGGGUUUAAAGGGUGCGUAGGCUGUGAGGUAAGUCAGCGGUGAAAUGCCCCGGCGCAACGGGGUGAAGUGCCAUUGAUACUGCCUUGCUUGAAUGCGGAUGCGGUGGGAGGAAUGUGUGGUGUAGCGGUGAAAUGCAUAGAUAUCACACAGAACACCGAUUGCGAAGGCAUCUCACGGAUCCGCGAUUGACGCUGAUGCACGAAAGCGUGGGUAUCAAACAGGAUUAGAUACCCUGGUAGUC